AGAAACGAAGCUGUCGAUGAGGGCAGCCACACCUCCAGCCCUACCCUCUGCGGUGGUGGAUUCUCUCGCGUGACCCCGUGAAGUUCUACCUGCAUUUCAUGGGUUUAUGCUACCCUCACCCCGCCGGAGUCCUACCCAUCUUCAAAGCCCAGUUCACAACUGCACUACCUGCAUGAGCCAACCAAAAUUCCCUUCAACAAGAAACAAUCUUUCCAGCCUCUGGCCACUGACCACAUUUCCACUCAACUAUCAGUUCUGAGAGAAGGACCUCAGAAGAUGUUUGUUUUAAAAAUCACCACAGCUUCCUAGCACUCAAAAAGACAGCUAUUACUAACCACAUGAAACUAGACCAUACAACUUCCAAUUUGUUUUAGUAUCCUCUCCCCCCCAAAAACCAAAACAAAACAAAACAAAAC